UGGGGAAUAUUGCACAAUGGGCGCAAGCCUGAUGCAGCCAUGCCGCGUGUAUGAAGAAGGCCUUCGGGUUGUAAAGUACUUUCAGCGAGGAGGAAGGCGUUGUGGUUAAUAACCGCAGCGAUUGACGUUACUCGCAGAAGAAGCACCGGCUAACUCCGUGCCAGCAGCCGCGGUAAUACGGAGGGUGCAAGCGUUAAUCGGAAUUACUGGGCGUAAAGCGCACGCAGGCGGUCUGUCAAGUCGGAUGUGAAAUCCCCGGGCUCAACCUGGGAACUGCAUCCGAAACUGGCAGGCUAGAGUCUUGUAGAGGGGGGUAGAAUACCAGGUGUAGCGGUGAAAUGCGUAGAGAUCUGGAGGAAUACCGGUGGCGAAGGCGGCCCCCUGGACAAAGACUGACGCUCAGGUGCGAAAGCGUGGGGAGCAAACA
rnacentral:rRNA from 1 species